rnacentral:rRNA from 1 species
GACGAACGCUGGCGGCGUGCUUAACACAUGCAAGUCGAACGGAAAGGCCCUGCUUGCAGGGUACUCGAGUGGCGAACGGGUGAGUAACACGUGGGUGAUCUGCCCUGCACUUCGGGAUAAUCCUGGGAAACUGGGUCUAAUACCGUAUAGGAGCCAUUUUUAGUGUGAUGGUUGGAAAGUUUUUUCGGUGUAGGAUGAGCUCGCGGCCUAUCAGCUUGUUGGUGGGGUAAUGGCCUACCAAGGCGGCGACGGGUAGCCGGCCUGAGAGGGUGGACGGCCACAUUGGGACUGAGAGACGGCCCAGACUCCUACGGGAGGAAGAAGUGGGGAAUAUUGCACAAUGGGCGCAAGCCUGAUGCAGCGACGCCGCGUGGGGGAUGACGGCCUUCGGGUUGUAAACUCCUUUCGAUAGGGACGAAGCUUUUUGUGACGGUACCUAGAUAAGAAGCACCGGCUAACUACGUG